rnacentral:rRNA from 1 species
UACGGAGGGUGCGAACGUUAAUCGGAAUUACUGGGCGUAAAGCGCGCGUAGGUGGUUCGGCAAGUGGGAUGUGAAAGCCCCGGGCUCAACCUGGGAAUUGCAUUCCAAACUACCGAGCUAGAGUAUGGUAGAGGGAGGUAGAAUUUCCUGUGUAGCGGUGAAAUGCGUAGAUAUAGGAGGGAAUACCGGUGGCGAAGGCGGCCUCCUGGACCAAUACUGACACUGAGGUGCGAAAGCGUGGGGAGCGAACAGG